rnacentral:ncRNA from 2 species
AUAAUACUUCAGGGCAGAGCGAAAUUCUCUACUGGCGGUAAACUCCGGGAGCCAAAGAUGGCCGAACUGGUGAAAUUCCAGUAGCAACAGUUAUAGUCUGGAUGAAAGAAGUGUUUU